CAUUUCUACUGGAGCGGAUCGGUGGUAGGAGCGGCGUAAGCGUAUUCCUUGGGGAGUUGAAUUUCAAACGCCAAGGGCGUAGAAUUUGGGAUUCUAGGGAGACUCUCAGUAAGUCAGGGUUGUUGGGCCCCUUUAUUCCGGAUCAGGGCAUUAGGCCGGCCAGUCGUACUACAGACGCGAUAUGUGAUAUGAUAUUUGAUCUAACCGGAUCGGCC